rnacentral:rRNA from 1 species
GACGAACGCUGGCGGCGUGCUUAACACAUGCAAGUCGAACGGAAAGGCCCUGCUUGCAGGGUACUCGAGUGGCGAACGGGUGAGUAACACGUGGGUGAUCUGCCCUGCACUUCGGGAUAAGCCUGGGAAACUGGGUCUAAUACCGGAUAGGAGCCAUUUUUAGUGUGAUGGUUGGAAAGUUUUUUCGGUGUAGUAUGAGCUCGCGGCCUAUCAGCUUGUUGGUGGGGUAAUGGCCUACCAAGGCGGCGACGGGUAGCCGGCCUGAGAGGGUGGACGGCCACAUUGGGACUGAGAUACGGCCCAGACUCCUACGGGAGGCAGCAGUGGGGAAUAUUGCACAAUGGGCGCAAGCCUGAUGCAGCGACGCCGCGUGGGGGAUGACGGCCUUCGGGUUGUAAACUCCUUUCGCUAGGGACGAAGCUUUUUGUGACGGUACCUAGAUAAGAAGCACCGGCUAACUACGUG